AUUGGCAUGCUCCUUUACUUUCUUCAAAUUAAAUAAACUCAAAAUAAUAUUAUUUUCUGAUGCUUAAAAUAGUGCUUGCAAAGAUAUUUAAAGAAAACGUGUUGCUUAUUUCUCUAGAAAUCAUGAUGUGUCAUGUCAAGUGAGAGGCUGAGAUCACCAAAAGUGUACUAUGCUCACUUCUGCCUCUCACUUCCUCAAACUUAACCAUUGCCUACCACUUACCUCUUUGUCUUUUUCACAUCCUUCUGCCACUUUGGUUGUUAGAAGGAAGGAGGAAGAGUCAAAAAGAAAACGAUAAGAUAGGGGUAAAUCACAAGAUCCAGGAAAGGUUAGGAAAGAAUUCGGAGACAUUUUCAGCUCUUUAUAAAUGGAGGUGAAAUAAUUUGAAGCACCUACAUUUAUUUAAUGACAUCCAUAUUUGGGCUUCCCAGGUGAUGCUAGUGGUAAAGAACCUGCCUGCCAAUGCAGGAGACAUAAGAGAUGCAGAUUCGAUCCCUGGGUUGGGAAGACCCUCUGGAGGAGGUCAUGGCUACCCACUCCAGUAUUCUUGCCUGGAGAAUUUCAUGGACAGAGGAGCCUGGAGAGCUAUGGUCCAUAGGGUCUCAGAGGGUCUUAAAGAGUCGGGCACAACUGAAGCAACUUAGCACACAAGCACAUACAUAAGACAAUAAGAAAAAAGCUCCCACAUGCCAAAGUGGAGCAUCAAUUCCUACUCUUUUUUCUUUUCCCCUCCCGUCCCCCAAACAUGCUUCACAAACAUCAUUCCAUAUUUCUUGGUUCAGACAUAGAACUGAGCCCAAAUCUACUUGAAGAUGAAAGUUAGCCUUACAGAAACCAAACCAGGAGGUCUGAUUUUGGCAAGACAUAUCUCUCCUUUGCUUUGCCCCCUCUCCUCACUCUGUUUUUUUCCAGGUAGCCUGAAAUUUCAAGAGUGCCUUGGAUGCAUCUCAGCUGCCCUUCUCUGCCCUACUCUUUCAAUAAGUACCCAAAUAAGAUUUAUCUCUAUGUCAUCCAUGAAUGAUCUCCCCAUUAUGAGAGGAUUCUUUACCGCUGAGCCACCUGGGAAGCCCCAGCAUGUGGGUACUACAUACUUACUCAAUUUAACUGAAUUACAUGGAAUGAGACAAUUGCAAGAGCAUAACGAAAUCCUCUGCUUUGAAAUGGCACCUUGUGUAUGUUGUCAAUUUGUACAUGUACAAGUUCACACACGUGUGCACACCACACACCAAAGUGCUGAAAUAGACUUGAUUUUGAUGCCAAGGAUUGAAAAAUGGAAUUCCAUCUCUUUCUCUGCUUAUAAUGUUGAAUUCAUGUUUGUGUGCCUGGUAAGCAGAUUUGCAAGCUAAACUAACUCUCACCAAAUAGACUGGUAAAGAAAAAAAGCUUUAUUCAAGGAAGCUGCAAAUGGAAACUAAUACUCAUAACAUAGACCGAAGCAAAAGACAAGAAAAUGGUAGAGCAAAUAUUUCCUGUUCCUUGUAGAAAUGCUUCCUCUGUCAUAUCACAAGGUAAUGAUGAUGACAUAGUGAUAUGUGUCAAGGUAUUAGACACAAAGUUGAAAUUAUGUAGAAGACCAUUGAAUAGAAAUUGUAUCCACCAUUGUUAAAAAAUUCACAUUUUAAGUAUAUGCUUUGUCUUUUACAUCAGUUAAUGAGAUUUAGAAGACAACUUGAUAGCAAAUGUUUAAAAUUUGGGCAUUAAAAGCUAUUUUUAAUGACAACCGAAAGGGUUUUGCUUUUGUACAAUUUAAAGUAAAAUAAAUAAUGAUUCAUAACAGGUUUAUCUCA
rnacentral:lncRNA from 1 species